GUCUAUGGCCAUGCCACUCUGAACAAGUCUGAUCCCGUCUGAUCUCGGAAGCUAAGCAAGGCCGGGCCUGGUUAGUACUUGGAUGGGAGACCACCUAGGAAGACCAGGCGCUGUAGGUG
rnacentral:rRNA from 1 species